rnacentral:rRNA from 1 species
AUGAAGGACUUCAACACGCUUAAGCUCUUGGUUGCUUGGGAGAUAUGGAAACACCGUAAUGACAUUGUAUUCACCAACAAAUCGCCACAAAUCCAAACUGUUGCCAUGAUGAUCAUCGAGGAGGGCAAAGUUUGGCAAACGGCUAGGUUGUUCAAGCGGGACAUGCAAGCUUUCGUAGCAGAAUUGUAUAGGCGGGGGUGUAACUAG